CCUCUGCCCAGGGCCUUUUCUGGGGACAGGGCAGGGUGGGGAUGGGCAUGCCAGGGAAGUAGCCCUGUGGAGGGCCUUUCACAUCUGCCUGGGCCCAGUGGCCUUGUUGUUGGGCAGUUCUUGGCAGACGUUGUAUCUCGCCCACAGCUAGCGCUUGUCCCAGUGGCUUCAGCUUUUCCUGCUGUGCACGGCUCUUCCUCCCCAACUUUGCCAAACGUGCCAGCUCAUAGGUGCACUUUGCACAGCAGGUAAGAUGUCACCGAGGCUGGCGGUACCGCGGCUCCUCAGAGACAGUUUUCACCAAAGGCUCAGUGCCUCCUCCGUCCUUUCGUCUCCCCACCGCUGCCUAAAAACGAUCAAGAUCCAAGUAAAAACGAGGGGUUUGUAAUCAAUCAGGGCGGGGAUGUUGCACAACCCGUAUGUUACAUAACGACGUGCACGCCAUUGGCAGACGCACUCCAGUAAUUUCUGGUGGGAUGUGGAUGUUUUAACCACAGCUCUGGAGGCUUAACACACAAGGUGGAGCAUCCAUACAGCCGAUCUGCUCCUUCUUUGGCUGAUAAUGGCAAAUCCACUGGAAGCGCGACUUCCUUUCUUCCAUCGAAUCUGGCACUUUACAAAAAGGAAGCCGGUCUCCUGUGCUGAGUAUUAACCGCGCGGCAUUAGGUGAGAACCACCAUUUGACUUUGCGAGGACUGCUGGAGUGACAAGGCCCUGGUAACGGGCAAUUUAAAAAGUGGGUGGGGGAGAGGGGUUAAAAGAUGUUCUCAGCCAUGUAUCUCCGUCCCUGCUCUAGGGUUGCCAUGUUUGGGAGAAGGCCCGUGGAACGAUCUCGACCCACUUCCAAUCGUACUAUUCUCUGCAUUUCCGUCCGCUGGAGGAGCUGGAGGGGGAGGCCAUGCCACAGAGGCUGGGAACUCUGACAUUGCGAUUGGCUGUUCACAAGCUGACCCUGAUUUCUGAGGGAUCCUCACAGUCCUCUGCUAGCUGUUCUCUGCAACGCUGUGUGCGAUGGCCUCGACUCCGAGAGAAGCUGGAAUCAACAUACCUUGAUUCGAACUUUGGUGCCAUCCCCCCAGCUCCCACUGACUUCCCUUCCUCCUCGAGAGGAGUAGGUGUACUGGCGAUGACGGGAGUGCCCUCAGCAUUCGAUUGAACGGGUCUUUAUUAGACCCACUAAAUCAAACGCCAGAAGAUCAACCUGUGGAGCGUUGCUCCGCCGCACCAUGGUGAAAGUGGGCAGCAAUGUGUGCGAGAAGCCGGGCAAGGAACAGGGCGCCGGCGGGGACAGCGACG